CAUCUCGGCAGAGGAGAAGUGCGAACAACAUUUGCAGAAAUCGCCCUUUAGUGUACAUUGAAAACGUCUGUGAUCUUUCGAUCGUCAAAAUCCGAACGCUGCAUCCUCUUUUUGGUGCUACUCUCAAACGAAUCAGCCCUCGCGGCUCCUGAUUGGUCAGGGGGCGGGGCUUUUAUUACCUGCAAACAGAAGGCGGUCCACAGUUGCCGUGGUGACGGGUCCAGUUAGCUUGACAUGUGCUAAUGCUAACGCAGCCACGUGACUCCGAGGCAGUCAGCGAAGGGUUAAACUCCUGAGUGAGGAAGAGGAGGAGGAGCAAUGCGUCAGUCGCUCAACGGGCUCCUGAUGAAGAUUCUGCCGCUCGGCGGUAGGGGAAAAAACAUUUGUGUUCGCACGUUCAUGCGCCUGUGUUUGUGUGUGCGUGCGGCAUUUUGAUGACACUCGAACGAAAUGUGGCAGCGUGCGCACGCGUCACAUCUUGUUCUUCCUCUUCACCAUCAUCACCCUCAUCACGUGACACGCACGGCCAAACGUGUCGGUGCGCGUUCAAGCGGUAGCUGCGCUGCAACGUGACGUCAUCAACAUGUCAGAUCAGGCAACAUCUUGAGAAGAACUCCAGGUGGGCCGGGCGGAGGACCAUGGGAGACGGGGGCGACCCCCUGCAGAUCGAGGGCAACGCCCUCCUCAAAGCCGUCUUCCAGGGGAAGCUGAGGCUGAGCCGUCUGCUAUUGGAGGGCGGCGCGUACAUCAAUGAGGGCAACGAGCUGGGCCAAACUCCGGUGUCGGCCGCCUGCCUGGCGGACUACGAGGACCCUCGCACCCGCCUCCGGAUGGUGCGCUACUUGCUGGAGAAGGGCGCCGACCCCAACAUCCCGGACAAGAGCGGCAGGACGGCCCUGAUGCACGCCUGCGCCAAGCGGGCCGGGAAGGAGGCGGUCUCCCUCCUGCUAGAGAACGGAGCCGACCCCAGCCUCAAGGACUACUCUGGAUGCUCCGCCCUCAUGCGUGCCCUCAACAAGGGUGACCGGGAGACCCUGCAGGUUCUGCUGGAUGCCUGCAGGGCCAAAGGCAAGGAGGUUAUCAUCAUCACCACCGACACAUCUCCGUCCGGUACCAAAAAGACAAAGCAGUACCUGAACUCUCCUCCGUCUCCGGGCGUAGAGGACAAGGCGCCGCCCCCAGCCACACCCGUCCCCGCCUGCAUGUCGCCGUCGGAGGUGGAGAUUGUGACCUCGUCUCUGGCGGACGGCGGCAGAGUCCAACAAGACGAGCGAAUCUUCACCUUCUCGCCGGCCUCCGCGUUGCCUUUACCCAAUGGUCGGCCUCAGGGAGAAAAGAGAGCGGCGCCGCCUCCUCCUCGCAAGCUGCUCAAGAGGCUUAACUCGGAGCCUUGGGGCCUGGUGGCGCCCUUGACCUCGAGCGGGCCUCCUCAGGAAACCGUCAGGGGGCGUCUGGAGGAGGUGGAGGGCGUCUGCCAUCUGAGUAAACGAAUCAACGGACUGUGCCUCACCGAGUCCGCCAGACCUCUGUUGUCACGGCGACACAGCAUCGAGACCCACGACCCUUGUUCCCCGAAAGUAACGGACCAGUCCUGCUCCGGGGACCACGUGGUCCUCGCCCCCUCCACCCUGGCGGACAAGGUUCAACACCACCAAAUCCUUCAUUGCAGGAACACGCCGCUGGAGUCCCAGGAGAACGCCGGAACGCAGAUCUCGGCUCAUCGCAAACUCACCCGAACGGAGCACUACGAGGCCGACAACCACGCGGAGCCGGAAUCCGUCCCCGGAUCUCCUGACUCUGGGUGGGUGUCCGUGGAGUGGAGGCGGUACGACACAUCCUCCCUUUCCCUGGUCCCCAACUCUUCUCGGGAUUCUCUGGAGAACAUCCCCAACUCCGUGUCCCCCGUGGCAGUGCGCCAACGGAGCCCCGGACUCCUGGAGCGCCGCGGCUCCGGGACCUUACUUCUGGACCACAUAGCCCACACCAGACCUGGUUUUCUGCCGCCGCUCAAUAUCAACCUCCAGAGACCCAUCCCGGAUAUCCGCUCCAACAGCAAGCCCCCCUCGCCGGUCCAUGGCGCCCACAAGAUCCUGGUUCCCGUGGCCCCAGCUUCCCCCAAACGAGCUCCAGACUUUAAGAGCAAAAAGAAGCUGAUGAGGAGGCACUCUAUGCAGACGGAGCAGAUGAAGCAGCUUUCCACGUUCCAGGAAAUUCUGGCCGAGAAGGUCACAGAGUCCAACGGCGACUGAUAUCUUCAUGGAGGGGCGUCACAGGGGCGGCUCUUUAAAAGGGAUGAUGAGGGCUCGCACGUAACCCGAACAAAACAGCAACUCUCAGCUACAGUAUAUUUAGCUUUGCCGUGUUUGAUCACGUCUCUUUCAUACUUACACACAUUGUAGAUAAAUCUAAAGUACGUAUGUAUAAAGCAGGGGUGCCAAAUUCACACCGAGAGCCGUUAUGACUAUGAAAGCAUAUACUGUAAUUGUCUAACAAUAGCCUCAUAUUCAAAACAAAAAAACAGAAGCUUGUUCAAACUGUGUUUUAAAAGGGGAACUGGUCAAACAAAUGCAAUUCUCAACUUAGUUUGAAGCGAAAGGUAGGCGUGAACGUGAGCGCGAAUGAUUGGCCGUGAUUGGCUGGCGACCAGUUCGGGCUGUACCCCGCCUCUCGCCCGAAGAUAGCUCGGACGGGCUCCAGCAUGCCCGCGACCCGCUACAGAACAUUUGCAAGUUUGGCAUCUGAGCAAGAAGCAGGAUUUGCUUUCGCGGGCCACCUUAAAUGAAGCGCUGGGCCAGAUUUGGCUCUCAGGCCUUGAGUUGGACAACUGUGACAGAAGGUUUCAAGACAUUUGCAUCCAUAUACAUUACACAUACAGUAUUUGAUCAUGUAUGAUAUUAUCAAUAAGAACAUUGUUUACAGGGCUCUCGGGCCAAUCAGAGCGAUGAUGGACGGAGCUUUGGCGUUUCAUAUCUUGCUGAAACAGGAAGCAAGGAGUGAAAGGGGGUGGGGCUCAAGGGGACGGACCGAUGCCAAAUGUUUCUUUUUCAUGAAAUGCUUUUGUGGGCAAACGGAGGAAGUCGCGUGCCGACCGAUUUCGCGAAAAGCUACAAAAAAACAACAACAUUGUUUCCUAUGAGUUUACUUUUGUUGAAAAAUACUUUUCUUCGGCCAGUCUGAUGACUUUUGUUGAAGAUGCACUUUCAUAUUGUCGAUGAGCUUUUAAGAACUUUUUGUUGAGGAGGAAGAUGAGCAAGUUGACGUUGACUUUUGCUUUGCCGAACAUCUUCAUCACCGUGACGCCGUCGUACUGCAGCUGGAGGAGGUCCUAAAGGCGCGAGGGAUCGAUCCAUUGACGGU